GUGUUUCUGUAAAAAGAUGCAGACAGUAGGUAUAUAGAGUGAGACAGGGUUAAGGACUUUGAAAUAAACAGUAUUGGGCAUUUAUUCAUCCAUUAUUCAUUCAUUAACAUAUUUUUUUAAUAUAUAUUUCUUCCUGGUCAGGUUCACAGUCGGUCUGGGUUUUCCCAGAAUCACUGAACACAAGGCAGAAAGAGCUCCUGGAGUGGCCGCCAGUCAGAAAUGGGGUGAUGCUUUCUUUCCAGAAUUUGCUGCAGAAUUUGGACCAGUGCUUCCCUGCUACUGUGCCAUUCCCUGCAGCACAAGCAUGAUCCAUCCACUCACAUGUUUAACAGUUGGAGAGAUGAACGUGUUGCUGAAGCUGUACCUCAGUGUAGACUAUAGCGGUCAUCCAGAAGCGUUUGCUGGGCCGGGGCACGGACAGCAUGGCCCACAGGAAGAUGAGGAUGGGCAGGAC